rnacentral:rRNA from 1 species
UACGGAGGCGGCAAGCGUUGCUCGGAAUCACUGGGCGUAAAGGGCGCGUAGGCGGGGAGGUAAGUCGGGUGUGAAAUCCCUCGGCCCAACCGAGGAACUGCGCCCGAGACUGCUUCUCUUGAGUCCCGGAGAGGAAGAUGGAAUUCCCGGUGUAGCGGUGAAAUGUGUAGAGAUCGGGAGGAACACCGGUGGCGAAGGCGGUCUUCUGGACGGUGACUGACGCUGAGGCGCGAAAGCGUGGGGAGCAAACGGG